GCAGGAACAGUGACAGCAGUGUGAUAGGUCGGCAGGAACAUGAGGUGGUGUGUGGAACUAAACCUUUGACCUUGCAAUCCUUAGGUUCGUAUUCUCAAACACUUCUGUGCUUCACCUCAACUAUUGGAAAAGGCUUUAUUUAAAUUUACACGAAUUCUUAAAGUUGUUUUUACGGUUGUAGAGGCAGAGUGACGAGAUUUCUACAUUAUUAGCUAGAGAAACACAAUUGAAAACUCUGCUAAGUAUCUCUGUGGCCUUGGCAAGUAGUCGUGGUGAGAGAGCAAAGCGUUUCUGAAAGCGGACCUUAGUGCAGCAAGGCAAAGAAAAAAAAUAGACCGCACAUGGGACGAAGAUAAAGGAAACGCAUAAGAAUAUAAGGAUGCUGAGACAAUUUACAUCACAGAAGGAAACCCUGGCGUAUGUACAGUAUUGACCAACAACUGCAGUGGACGGCCAUGCUUCUCCGACCGAGAUUGCUCACCACAGCAAAUAUGCUGCCCUACAAUAUGUGGAGGGAGAACUUGCACGAAUGUUCGUCCGUAUGGACUCUCCUAACUAUACCACCACCACCACCACCACAACUUUGACCUGAGAGGAAACAUGAAUCAUAUGUUAACUGUUGCUGAUUGGUGUUGUUAAAGAAUGAUGAAAUAAACAAUUGGCUCA